rnacentral:rRNA from 1 species
ACGCCGUAAACGAUGAAUACUAGGUGUUGGGGACCAUAGGUCUUCGGUGCCGCAGCAAACGCAAUAAGUAUUCCACCUGGGGAGUACGUUCGCAAGAAUGAAACUCAAAGGAAUUGACGGGGACCCGCACAAGCGGUGGAGCAUGUGGUUUAAUUCGAAGCAACGCGAAGAACCUUACCGAAUCUUGACAUCCUCUUGACAAGCUAUGUAAUGUAGCCUCUCUUCGGAGCAGGAGUGACAGGUGGUGCAUGGUUGUCGUCAGCUCGUGUCGUGAGAUGUUGGGUUAAGUCCCGCAACGAGCGCAACCCUUGUCCUUAGUAGCCAGCAGUAAGAUGGGCACUCUAGGGAGACUGCCGGAGAUAAUCCGGAGGAAGGUGGGGAUGACGUCAAAUCAUCAUGCCCCUUAUGAUUUGGGCUACACACGUGCUACAAUGGCGUAAACAAAGGGAGGCGAAACCGUGGGGUCUAGCAAAUCCCAAAAAUAACGUCUCAGUUCGGAUUGUAGUCUGCAACUCGACUACAUGAAGCUGGAAUCGCUAGUAAUCGCGAAUCAGAAUGUCGCGGUGAAUACGUUCCCGGGUCUUGUACACACCGCCCGUCACACCAUGGGAGUCAGUAACGCCCGAAGUCAGUGACCUAACCGUAAGGAAGGAGCUGCCGAAGGCGGGACGGAUAACUGGGGUG